UACGAAGGGGGCUAGCGUUGUUCGGAAUUAUUGGGCGUAAAGAGCUUGUAGGCGGUUUGUCGCGUCUGCUGUGAAAAUCCGGGGCUCAACCCCGGACUUGCAGUGGGUACGGGCAGACUAGAGUGUGGUAGGGGAGACUGGAAUUCCUGGUGUAGCGGUGAAAUGCGCAGAUAUCAGGAGGAACACCGGUGGCGAAGGCGGGUCUCUGGGCCGAUACUGACGCUGAGGAGCGAAAGCGUGGGGAGCGAACAGG
rnacentral:rRNA from 1 species